UGGGGGGACGGAGAAGGUUAGCUCAGCCAACUGUUGGAUAUGUUGGUUCAAGCCUGUAGUCGUGCCUGGUAGGCAAAUCCGCCGGGCUUAGAUGAGGGGUGAUAACGAGUCUGCUUGCAGACGAAGUGAGUGAUACCCAGCUUCCAGGAAAAGCCACUAAGCUUCAGCUACACACGACCGUACCGCAAACCGACACUGGUGCGCGAGAUGAGUAUUCUAAGGCGCUUGAGAGAACUCAGGAGAAGGAACUCGGCAAAUUGAUACCGUAACUUCGGGAGAAGGUAUGCCCCAAGUAGGUGAACUCGAACAGAGGGAGCCCAACGGGGUUGCAAAAAAUCGGUGGCUGCGACUGUUUAAUAAAAACACAGCACUCUGCAAACACGAAAGUGGACGUAUAGGGUGUGACGCCUGCCCGGUGCUGGAAGAUUAAAUGAUGGGGUGCAAGCUCUUGAUUGAAGUCCCAGUAAACGGCGGCCGUAACAAUAACGGUCCUAAGGUAGCGAAAUUCCUUGUCGGGUAAGUCCCGACCUGCACGAAUGGCGUAACGAUGGCCACACUGUCUCCUCCUGAGACUCAGCGAAGUUGAAAUGUUUGUGAUGAUGCAAUCUCCCCGCGGAAAGACGGAAAGACCCCAUGAACCUUUACUGUAGCUUUGUAUUGGACUUUGAACAGAUCUGUGUAGGAUAGGUGGGAGGCUUUGAAGUGAUGUCGCUAGAUGUCAUGGAGCCAACGUUGAAAUACCACCCUGGUGUGUUUGAGGUUCUAACCUAGGUCCAUUAUCUGGAUCGGGGACAGUGCAUGGUAGGCAGUUUGACUGGGGCGGUCUCCUCCCAAAGCGUAACGGAGGAGUUCGAAGGUACGCUAGUUACGGUCGGACAUCGUGACGAUAGUGCAAUGGCAUAAGCGUGCUUAACUGCGAGACUGACAAGUCGAGCAGAUGCGAAAGCAGGACAUAGUGAUCCGGUGGUUCUGUAUGGAAGGGCCAUCGCUCAACGGAUAAAAGGUACUCUGGGGAUAACAGGCUGAUACCGCCCAAGAGUUCAUAUCGACGGCGGUGUUUGGCACCUCGAUGUCGGCUCAUCUCAUCCUGGGGCUGUAGCCGGUCCCAAGGGUAUGGCUGUUCGCCAUUUAAAGAGGUACGUGAGCUGGGUUUAAAACGUCGUGAGACAGUUUGGUCCCUAUCUUCCGUGGGCGCUGCAGAUUUGAGGAAGCCUGCUCCUAGUACGAGAGGACCGGAGUGGACACACCUCUGGUGUAUCGGUUGUCACGCCAGUGGCAUUGCCGAGUAGCUAAGUGUGGAAGAGAUAACCGCUGAAAGCAUCUAAGCGGGAAACUCGUUUCAAGAUGAGAUCUGCCGGGGCCUUGAGCCCCCUGAAGAGUCGUUCAAGACCAGGACGUUGAUAGGUCAGGUGUGGAAGCGCAGUAAUGCGUUAAGCUAACUGAUACUAAUUGCUCGUGAGGCUUGAUC
rnacentral:rRNA from 1 species